rnacentral:rRNA from 1 species
AAUGAACGUUGGCGGCGUGGAUUAGGCAUGCAAGUCGUGCGAGAAUCGUAGCAAUACGAGGACAGCGGCGAAAGGGAGAGGAAUACGUGGUUACCUACCCUCAGGUUCAGGAUAGCUAUGGGAAACUAUAGGUAAUACUGAAUAAUAUCUCCGGAUCAAAGGUGUGAUUCCACCUGAGGAGGGGGCCGCGUCCUAUUAGCUAGUUGGUGAGGUAACGGCUUACCAAGGCGAAGAUGGGUAUGGGAUGUGAGAGCAUGAUCCCACUCACUGGGAAUGAGACACUGCCCAGACACCUACGGGUGGCUGCAGUCGAGAAGCUUCGGCAAUGGGGGCAACCCUGACCGAGCGACGCCGCGUGUGAGAUGAAGGCCUUCGGGUUGUAAAUCACUGUCAGUGGGGAGGAAAUGUUGGAGGGUUCUCCCUCCAAUUUGACCUAUCCGCAGAGGAAGGACGGGCUAAGUUCGUGCCAGCCGCCGCCGUAA